UAUUACAAUAUUUGUUAUUGCCUUUUUUAUAAUUUUCUCGAAUAUUUAGAGACGAUUUGGGAUAAUGAUCGUGCUCUGCUCUUUAUUUGAUAUCACAUCUUCCCACCCUACUCUAAAACUAUUUAAAAAGUUUUCAUUAUCAAGAUGAUGUCAAAAGACGUCAUUCGUUUCUUAAGCCACAGGCGGAUGACGUCUUUCAACGCCAUCGGUACGGGCACAUAACCAUAGACAUAACAAAAAACAGACAAGGCAUACUGAGCAAAAUACCGUAACGCGCGGAAAGUCGAACGGUGGUCUAUCCAUCUCUUUUUACUAAGUGGUCCUGCCCAUGUGACAGAUAAAGAAGGCUAGACCACUCAAAGUGAAUAAUGGCCAAUGACGUCCGUGAUAUUGGCGUUACACCUCGAUGCACAGAGCGGCCCAUACCUUACCUUGUCUAUUCUUAUUAUGUCUAUGCAUAUAACUUAAUUUAGCGAAAGUUCGUCUUUCGUGUCAUCCACAGCGAAAGAGUUAAUGGACCACCUAAGCCUGACGUCACAAUGGGCGGGCAAUUUGAAAACCUUUUCACAUAUUUCUAAUUCCUGUGUUUGUCCCAUAAGCAGUUGGAAAUAUUGUUUUUUUUUUUAAUUGUUUAAACAGUAAAUAAGAACUUUUAAUUAUGAACAUUUCUUCUGUGAGAUUGGUAUUAUUUGUUGUUCGUAAACUUGUGAGGUAAGAUUAUACAAGAAAGGAUAGGAUACGAAACAACAUUAUCAGGGAAAAAUUUGGCGUGCAAGACUUAGUAAGAUGGGGUAGGAAAAGACGAAGAGAAUGGUUCAGUCAUGUAAAAAGAAUGGAGGAGCACAAACUACCAAGAAUUGCGCUAGAAGGAAAACCAGCUGGCAAGCGUCCACCGGGUAGACCACCAAAAAGAUGGAGAGAUAGCUGGCAGUCUACCUCUCAAGAAAUACAGACUGUAACUAUAAGAAGAAUCGGUGAGAAGAGAAAGCGGAUAUAUCCAUAAAUAGGCAUUUUUGACAGAAAUCCAUUAUAAGUAUGAAGACGAUUUUUUAGAGAAACCGGACAUAUCUUCGUACUAGCAAAGCAUUGUUAUCUCAGUAGAUUUAGAAACGGUGAAAAAUGAAGAAGUUAGCAUAGCAGAAGACAACAUUUUGGCAAAUAGUAAAAACCGUCAAACAGAUAUUACAAUGGAAAAAUUAACUAAUACAUUUCUGUCAGUAACAUUAACACACACUUUAAAAGAUCAGUCCAUUUGAUCUAAAAGAUCAGUAAAAAGAACACUGCACUUGUUGACUUGUGUAUAAAAUAUUACUAAGCACUAGAUAAUUAAUUAUGCCCAUGUUAGUUACGCUUGAAAACUGGCUCCACUGUAGGUUAACUCAGACUCCUUGAGAGAAAAUGGAUCUAUAUUUAUCAAAUCAACAACAAAAUGUUCGGAAAAUAAAACUAUUAAACAUAAAAAACCUAAGAAACACAAUGUGGUACAAAUAUAAACAAAUACAAUGUUUGUCUCCCAUCGGCCAUAUUGGUGUCAUAAAAGUCAGUCUUGGAAUGGCCCGUUGACAGUAAAUAUCUUAAUAAUUUGAUAUUCUUACCUUACAAAUUCACGAACAACAAAUAAUACCAACCACAUACAAUGAAUUUUCAUAACCAAAAGUCCUUAUUUACUCUUGAACCAAUUAAAAAUAGCCCGAUAAGGGAACGCAAAAUUUUACGAAAACCUCCAAAAAAAUAAAGGAAGGAUGAAAAUUUGACAAUAGGUAGUUGAAAUUGUCUAUUAUUAUAUAAGAAAAACUUUAUAAUUCUACAUCCCCUCCAUUUUACACAAAUUGGAAAAUACGGGGUGAAAUUUUUUUUCUCAGGGGUGAAAAAAAAUACGUUUAAAAUAAAUUCGGAAUUGGAUAUAAUGACUAAUUCUAAGCAACUUUUGUUCUAUAGAGUUUUUUCCCUAAGUCAAUACUUUUCGAGUUAUUUGCAGGUGAAUGUGUUCUCAUUUUUAACAAAAAAAAUGUUUGUGGACGGUUUUUCGGAGAUAACUCAAAAAGUAAGUAUUUUAGCGAAAAAAAUAUUCGUAGUAAAAAUAUAGCUUAUAAAAAAUUGAAAACAAUGGUGUAUACGUGUGGUCUGCAGACCCAGUUGAAGCAGAGUUGCAGCUAAUGAAAUGUAGGUUCUUCUUCGUCAAAUUCCAAAUCGAAUAUUUCAAUGUGAAAUAACCAAAAAACGGAGCACUUUUCGGGGAAAAUUCAUUACAACUUUU